rnacentral:tRNA from 2 species
GCACCCAUAGCUCAAUUGGAUAGAGCGUUGCGCUACGGACGCAAAGGUUGAGGGUUCGAUUCCUUCUGGGUGUA